rnacentral:rRNA from 1 species
UACGAAGGGGGCUAGCGUUGCUCGGAAUCACUGGGCGUAAAGCGCACGUAGGCGGCUUGUUAAGUCAGGGGUGAAAUCCUGGAGCUCAACUCCAGAACUGCCUUUGAUACUGGCAAGCUUGGAGUCCGGGAGAGGUGAGUGGAACUGCGAGUGUAGAGGUGAAAUUCGUAGAUAUUCGCAAGAACACCAGUGGCGAAGGCGGCUCACUGGCCCGGUACUGGACGCUGAGGUGCGAAAGCGUGGG